rnacentral:rRNA from 1 species
UACGUAGGGUGCAAGCGUUGUCCGGAAUUAUUGGGCGUAAAGAGCUCGUAGGCGGUCUGUCGCGUCGGCUGUGAAAACUCGGGGCUCAACUCCGAGUCUGCAGUCGAUACGGGCAGGCUAGAGUUCGGCAGGGGGAGGACUGGAAUUCCUGGUGGUAGCGGUGAAAUGCGCAGAUAUCAGGAGGAACACCGGUGGCGAAGGCGGGUCUCUGGGCCGAUACUGACGCUGAGGAGCGAAAGCGUGGGGGAGCGAACAGG